rnacentral:rRNA from 1 species
UACGUAGGGCGCAAGCGUUGUCCGGAAUUAUUGGGCGUAAAGAGCUCGUAGGCGGUCUGUUACGUCCGCUGUGAAAACCCAGGGCUUAACCCUGGGCUUGCAGUGGAUACGGGUAGACUAGAGGCAGGUAGGGGAGAAUGGAAUUCCCGGUGUAGCGGUGAAAUGCGCAGAUAUCGGGAGGAACACCGGUGGCGAAGGCGGUUCUCUGGGCCUGACCUGACGCUGAGGAGCGAAAGCGUGGGGAGUGAACAGG